GACAGAGGCCCCGAGCGUUAGGCGGAAUCACUGGGCUUAAAGCGUGUGUAGGCGGACCGUUAAGUACAUCGGUGAAAUCCCACGGCUCACCCGUGGAACGGCUGGGCAUACUGGCGGUCUUGGGCCACUUAGGGGCGACCGGAACAAGCGGUGGAGCGGUGAAAUGCGUAGAUAUCGCUUGGAACGCCGACGGUGAAAACAGGUCGCUGGGAGUGCGCCGACGCUGAGACACGAAAGCCAGGGGAGCGAACGGG
rnacentral:rRNA from 1 species